GCCUGGGUGGCUCAGUCGGUUGAGCGUCCGACUUUGGCUCAGGUCAUGAUGUCACGGUCUGUGGGUUCGAGCCCCGCGUCGGGCU
rfam:Felis catus isolate Cinnamon breed Abyssinian chromosome D4, whole genome shotgun sequence.